UUUUUUUUUUAAAAAAAUAAUCAUUAAAAAACAAAAAAAUUAGUAUUGAAAUGGAGUAUAUACCACGAUAUUGGGCUGGUAACUUUUUCGGGUGAGUAUUGUACUGGAUUGAUUAUUCAACAAGGUGAAUGGGCUUUUACCUUGAAUCUAUGACCAGCAGAAGUACUACGAUUUGGUAAACAGCACAAGUACUACGGAAACAACAUGUGAUGUUUUAAAAUCACAAUAAUCAUAUCGGAGCAACUUGGAAAGAAAACAUAAGAGAAAAUUAUUAGAAAAAUUCCCGGAUGUGACAAUAAAAAGCGCGAGCAAAGAGAGAUGGAGAUACGUAUCAGACGCAUUUAAUGCGGCGUCAGAGGAUAUACAGCUUCCAACGUAAUAUAUUGUUGUAUGUGUAAACCCUUUUCUUUAGUGUAGCACUUUUUAACACAAGGUUUGUGUGCUUAUGCUAUACGCUACAAAAUGGCAGGUCGAUAAGUUGACACGUUGGUCAAUGACGUCAAGAUUACGAAUAGGCAAGUGGGGGCAGAAGAUAUACUGAAUCUAUACCUCGGUUCACGGAAAUGUGUAAAGCAAAGACUAAGUAAAUCACAUGGUUAUUUUGACGAUAACAUGCAAUACAAAUAAAGAACACUUAACACUUCGAUUUGACAUUGGUUAAUUGUGUAAAGCAAGGUUUGUGUGCUUAUGCUAUACGCUACAGAAUGGCAGGUCGUUAAGUUGACACGUUGGUCAAUGACGUCAAGAUUACGAAUAGGCAAGUGGGGGCAGAAGAUAUACUACCUCGGUUCACGAAAAUGUGUAAAGCAAAGACUAAGUAAAUCACCUGGUUAUUUUGACGAUAACAUGCAAUACAAAUAAAGAACACUUAACACUUCGAUUUGACAUUGGUUAAUUGUGUAAAGCAAGGUUUGUGUGCUUAUGCUAUACGCUACAGAAUGGCAGGUCGUUAAGUUGACACGUUGGUCAAUGACGUCAAGAUUACGAAUAGGCAAGUGGGGGCAGAAGAUAUACUACCUCGGUUCACGAAAAUGUGUAAAGCAAAGACUAAGUAAAUCACCUGGUUAUUUUGACGAUAACAUGCAAUACAAAUAAAGAACGCUUACCACUUCGAUUUGACAUUCGUGAAUUGUCGCUUCACGCCUCCCUCGGGUGUUGGGAGGGAAAUCAUACCGUUUUGAAAUUCGCGUGGCUGCAAAUGGUUAAGCAACUGUUACUAGAAAUAUCUUUAGUUACUGUAGCCCUAAAAAACAAAGUUAACCUUUUCUAUAAAAGAAGAAAGAUGGCAAGAUAUCAUCUCUCACACCUCUACUUCUUCCUAUAAAGCACACACUACGUAUCCAACAACAUCGAAGAACUCGAUCAUUUCUGUUUUGGUAUGCAAUUAAUGAAUGUUCUUUUGGUCGGGUUUGUUGCUAUUUUUAAAAAACUCAUGGUUGAUUUAUCUCUAUUUAAUGCAACUCUAUUAAUGUGUAGGUACCGAUGGUGGUUAUAACCGAAAUAACCGACGAUCGUUAUGUCAGGACGGUGAGUGGCUCCUGGGCAAUCGGAGCUGAUGGAACAUGGUUAUUCAUAUCCAAUCACAAUAAUGCAGUGAGGAGGUUGAGCAUUGGGGAAGGGGAGAAGUUAGCAUCUGUGCGCCAGCUUGUUAGAGAAGCGUACGGACAGGAAUACGUUGAAGGCCCACUACACCUGACUUACCAAUGGCCUGAUUGGAUGGACAUGGAAACUACCUUUGGUGGGCGCACGAAGCCAGUAAGCAUAACUUCAGAGGAGACAAUGGGAGUGUUUCUAGCUAUGCGUUUUGAGUUGGAGGACUUGAGUUUGUUUGUCUCCAAGCAAACGGUGGAUGAUGGUUCCGAAGAUGGUGGAACAAGUCAGACUUCAAGUUACGGAUUUGCAGAUAAAGGCAAAUCACCUUUAUACGUCAACGCUGAACGAUCACCUAACUACGAGUCCGUUGUGUGGAAAAGGCUUAUGGAUGACGAGGCGGUCCUCCGCUGGAUGCGUUCAACGGAAACAGAAGGUCAAAACGUUGGAGACUCUUCUACCAACGUACAACAACACCCUGUGAGACCAGCUGUUGAGGCAGCUUCCCCGAUGUUAACGACUGAAAGUAUGGACACAGCGACUGAAGAUGGAGAUCAGGUAAAAUAUUCUGCGUUUAUUAAAUUCAGCCACUCGAAUAUACCAUUACAGUACUAAGACAUCUAUUUACGCAGGAAGAAGACUCAACUGUUGUUGAGGCAGAUUUACUUAAAAAUCUGGGGUUACCGUCAAUUAAUUUAGCCACUGAAUCUUACGACUCUCUCAGUGAAGGGGAAGCGUACAACGACGAAAACGACUAUCCCGGGGGCGAGACAAUUAAGGAGUGCAAUUUUUUUGGGCCUUCCGCAACUAACUUGGUGGAACCUCUAGGUGUACACUUGGAUCUCGCGGUACCUCUGCAUGAGGCUCUUGAAGACAUGUGCCUUAACUUCGCAUCUUUCAACAGGGAUGCAGCGCCAACCCUAGACGAACAAGGGGAAGAAGGUACCAAUUACAUAGCAUGUUGUUUUUAAGAACAACACAUAUUGCAAGAGUGUUCUAAUAAUAACCGUCAUAUAGAGUAACAUGUUAUUCGUAUAAAUACCAUGCAAUAAAAAUUUAAUUUCGCUGAAUUCCUGAUUAGUCGUACGAAUACAAUCUUAAUAUCCACAUCAUAUUUGUUUAGUUUAAA
rnacentral:sRNA from 1 species